UGUGAAAAUCUGAGGCUCAACCUCAGACCUGCAGUCGAUACGGGCAAACUAGAGUGUGGUAGGGGAGACUGGAAUUCCUGGUGUAGCGGUGGAAUGCGCAGAUAUCAGGAGGAACACCAAUGGCGAAGGCAGGUCUCUGGGCCAUAACUGACACUGAGGAGCGAAAGUGCGGGGAGCGAACAGGAUUAGAUACCCUGGUAGUCCGCACCGUAAACGGUGGGCACUAGUUGUGGGAACCUUCCACGGUUUCCGCGACGCAGCAAACGCAUUAAGUGCCCCGCCUGGGGAGUACGAUCGCAAGAUUAAAACUCAAAGGAAUUGACGGGGCCCCGCACAAGCAGCGGAGCAUGCGGCUUAAUUCGACGCAACGCGAAGAACCUUACCAAGGCUUGACAUAUAGCGAAAAGUGGCAGAGAUGUCAUGUCCGCAAGGGCGCUAUACAGGUGGUGCUUGGUUGUCGUCAGCUCGUGUCGUGAGAUGUUGGGUUAAGUCCCGCAACGAGCGCAACCCUCGUUCUGUGUUACCAGCAUUUAGUUGGGGACUCACAGGAGACUGCCGGGGUCAACUCGGAGGAAGGUGGGGAUGACGUCAAAUCAUCAUGCCCCUUAUGUCUUGGGCUGCACGCAUGCUACAAUGGCCGGUACAAAGUGCUGCGAGAUCGUAAGAUUGAGCGAAUCACAUAAAGCCGGUCUCAGUCCGGAUUGAGGUCUGCAACUCGA
rnacentral:rRNA from 1 species